CGGUUUGUCGCGUCUGCUGUGAAAUCCCGAGGCUCAACCUCGGGCUUGCAGUGGGUACGGGCAGACUAGAGUGCGGUAGGGGAGAUUGGAAUUCCUGGUGUAGCGGUGGAAUGCGCAGAUAUCAGGAGGAACACCGAUGGCGAAGGCAGAUCUCUGGGCCGUAACUGACGCUGAGGAGCGAAAGCAUGGGGAGCGAACAGGAUUAGAUACCCUGGUAGUCCAUGCCGUAAACGUUGGGCGCUAGAUGUAGGGACCUUUCCACGGUUUCUGUGUCGUAGCUAACGCAUUAAGCGCCCCGCCUGGGGAGUACGGCCGCAAGGCUAAAACUCAAAGGAAUUGACGGGGGCCCGCACAAGCGGCGGAGCAUGCGGAUUAAUUCGAUGCAACGCGAAGAACCUUACCAAGGCUUGACAUACACCGGAAACGGCCAGAGAUGGUCGCCCCCUUGUGGUCGGUGUACAGGUGGUGCAUGGUUGUCGUCAGCUCGUGUCGUGAGAUGUUGGGUUAAGUCCCGCAACGAGCGCAACCCUCGUUCUAUGUUGCCAGCGGGUUAUGCCGGGGACUCAUAGGAGACUGCCGGGGUCAACUCGGAGGAAGGUGGGGAUGACGUCAAAUCAUCAUGCCCCUUAUGUCUUGGGCUUCACGCAUGCUACAAUGGCCGGUACAAAGGGCUGCGAUACCGUAAGGUGGAGCGA
rnacentral:rRNA from 1 species